rnacentral:lncRNA from 1 species
UUUGUUGGAUGUAAAUCUAAGGAUAGAAAAAUCAAGGACGAGGAGGUGCCUCCGCCCGUUGUGCCCGAGCUGUGCGCGGCGCUACCGCCGCCGCAGCCGGUGGCGGAGGUGCAAGUGUGCAGCGAGGAGGUUCUGGUGAUUGCCGUGCCAGUGCCGAACGAGGAGAGGGCGAUUGUGCUGCACAAGCCAGACGACGCCGCUCGCAACCUCCUCCUCGGCCCUCUCCGCCCGGAAUUCCCUCUCCGCGUCAGCCCCGAUUGGAUCCACGGCCUCAAGAGCACCGGGCUGCGAGAGGCGAGAGACCUCCAUGGACGAGACCUCCACCGUGCUCUCUUCGAGGAGCUAACCAUGGACGAGACCUCCAACUUGACCAUGGUACCAUGGGUUCCCGUGCCCUCAAAUUCCCAGGAGGCCUCCACGUCGGGCGCGGCGACGACGACGACAGAGAUGAUGGACGCCGAGGACACGUCCAUGGAGGUCAAGCAAGGCGGGGGAUCAGGGUGAUCCCAACUCG